AGAAUGUGGAACAGAAGAGAACGUAGCAUUCGUUAUGGGACAUGGUUCGACAAAUCGCGUCUGGGUAUUCGCCAAAUACUCAUUUAUCUAUUUCUGGAUGCUGAAGACUGGGUGGGUGUCCUUUUGUUGUGGUUGCAUGUUGUGAGGUCUUGUAGAACGAUAGCAAGUCAAGGCAAAAGGUACAAGACUGCCCAUAACAGCCAAUUUAGAUCCAGGAGGCGAUCGAUCGAGUUGCAAGAUUGAAGUUUAAUGUGCAUUGAUUGGUGUAUGUAUUGUUAUAGCCUUACAAUGGUUGGAAGAAAUGCCUUAUGGAAGAAGGGAAAAACGAUGAAGUAGAAAAUUUCUCUUUGAAGCUGUUGACAUUGAUGCAGCUUUCGUAAUGAAAAUAAAGUCCUGCAAAUCUGCACAUUGAUUUCAUGGUCAAAAGUUUCUUUAAUACUGCUGACUACAUACGUGCUCAACGUGCUCCAGUUGAAGCUUUUUGAAUCCUCAAUAGUAACAAGCAGCCUAGCAACAGCAGACAGAGAUCAGAGGUUAACCAUCUACUAACAAGACUGACUGCUGUUCAACAGUAACAAUCUGAAGAGACGAUUAUUCCUGAAGGGAGAGAAUGUGUUGAAAAGACAUGCAGAUGCAUCUCACAACUGUGAAUGGCUCAAAUUAGCAACUAAAUCACUAACUGGUGAAGCUGUUGAAUUGAAAGCAAAAUCGUCUGAUACUGUUGCCACCUUGAAGCGUCAAUUGCAAACCAAAGAUGAUUCUUCAUCAUGGGAUCUACUACUGGUUUGAAAUGAGAAGCAACUACACAAUGAGCAGACAUUGGCUGAUGCAGGAGCAAUUGAUGGAACAAUGCCGAGUAUCGUUUUUUGCCCUUGUGGUGUGACAGACAUGGGAGUCGAUGUAGGUGAAUUGUUUGUUCAAGCAUUAUCACUAGGCCAGAGCAGUCGAAGUAAGUCAAGUCAAGAUUGUCAUUGUUGGCAGAAACAGAACAGGCAAAACGUCUCUUAAACAAUCCUUGCUCAGACAGCAGUUUCAUUUUUAGAUAAAAUGUUUAGACAAACACAUACCUAGAGCAGUCGUCCUUGCACUGCAUGAUCUAAUGCAAAGGGUUCAGGGAGUGAAGGUGAGAAGAGCAGACCACCCACAUCUUGACAGUCAACUUCAGCUCAACUUGAAGUUCGAUAGAGAAUUAAUCUACAUUGACUGAUGAGAAAUUAAGCAGCGUGGACACAGACAAACUUGCAUGAUGAAGCAACAGUUCUAACUGAAGGGAUUGCUCGUGCUAUUCAAGAUUUCCAAAGUGAUCCUGAGCAGGAAGAUUAGAUAGUUCAAGGUAUGAUUUUGGAUUUUGGAAGACGGGGAGCCACUUGUUUCUGGUUAAUCUCAGUUUCUAGGCAGGGGCAUAGCAUGACCUCUAGAAAUGG